rnacentral:rRNA from 1 species
UACGGAGGGUGCAAGCGUUGUCCGGAAUCACUGGGCGUAAAGGGCGCGUAGGCGGCCCGGUAAGUAGGGGGGUGAAAUCCUGCGGCUUAACCGCAGGGCUGCCUUCUAAACUGUCGGGCUCGAGCACGGUAGAGGCAGAUGGAAUUCCCGGUGUAGCGGUGGAAUGCGUAGAGAUCGGGAAGAACAUCAGUGGCGAAGGCGGUCUGCUGGGCCGUUGCUGACGCUGAGGCACGAAAGCGUGGGUAGCAAACAGG